UACGUAGGGUGCAAGCGUUAUCCGGAAUUAUUGGGCGUAAAGAGCUCGUAGGCGGUUUGUCACGUCUGCUGUGAAAACUGGAGGCUCAACCUCCAGCCUGCAGUGGGUACGGGCAGACUAGAGUGCGGUAGGGGAGAUUGGAAUUCCUGGUGUAGCGGUGGAAUGCGUAGAUAUUGGGAGGAACACCAGUGGCGAAGGCGGCUACCUGGACCGGUUCUGACGCUGAUGCGCGAAAGCGUGGGUAGCAAACAGG
rnacentral:rRNA from 1 species